AACUUUCAACAACGGAUCUCUUGGUUCUCGCAUCGAUGAAGAACGCAGCGAAAUGCGAUACGUAAUAUGAAUUGCAGAUAUUCGUGAAUCAUCGAAUCUUUGAACGCACAUUGCGCCCUUUGGUAUUCCAAAGGGCAUGCCUGUUUGAGCGU
rnacentral:rRNA from 1 species